rnacentral:rRNA from 1 species
GAUGAACGCUAGCGGCAGGCCUAACACAUGCAAGUCGAACGGUAACAGAUCCCUCGGGAUGCUGACGAGUGGCGCACGGGUGCGUAACACGUAUGCAAUCUGCCUCUAACUGGAGAAUAGCCCAUGGAAACGUGGAUUAAUACUCCAUAAUAUCACAGCAUCGCAUGGUGAUGUGAUUAAAGCUUUGGCGGUUAGAGAUGAGCAUGCGCCCUAUUAGCUAGUUGGUGAGGUAACGGCUCACCAAGGCAACGAUAGGUAGGGGGUCUGAGAGGAUUAUCCCCCACACUGGUACUGAGACACGGACCAGACUCCUACGGGAGGCAGCAGUGAGGAAUAUUGGGCAAUGGACGAAAGUCUGACCCAGCCAUGCCGCGUGCAGGAUGACUGCCCUAUGGGUUGUAAACUGCUUUUAUUUAGGAAGAAACUUCUCUACGUGUAGAGAACUGACGGUACUAUUUGAAUAAGGACCGGCUAACUCCGUGCCAGCCGCCGCCGUAACAC